rnacentral:rRNA from 1 species
CUCGAAAAAGAGUAGUUAAUACCGCAUGAGAUCUACGGAUGAAAGCAGGGGACCUUCGGGCCUUGUGCUACUAGAGCGGCUGAUGGCAGAUUAGGUAGUUGGUGGGGUAAAGGCUUACCAAGCCUGCGAUCUGUAGCUGGUCUGAGAGGACGACCAGCCACACUGGGACUGAGACACGGCCCAGACUCCUACGGGAGGCAGCAGUGGGGAAUUUUGGACAAUGGGCGAAAGCCUGAUCCAGCAAUGCCGCGUGCAGGAUGAAGGCCCUCGGGUUGUAAACUGCUUUUGUACGGAACGAAAAGCCUGGGGCUAAUAUCCCCGGGUCAUGACGGUACCGUAAGAAUAAGCACCGGCUAACUACGUGC